GGAAUAUUGGUCAAUGGGCGGAAGCCUGAACCAGCCAUGCCGCGUGCAGGAAUAAGGCCCUAUGGGUCGUAAACUGCUUUUGACGGGGAGCAAUAAGGGUCACGUGUGGCCCGAUGAGAGUACUCGUCGAAUAAGCAUCGGCUAACUCCGUGCCAGCAGCCGCGGUAAUACGGAGGAUGCAAGCGUUAUCCGGAUUUAUUGGGUUUAAAGGGUGCGUAGGCGGAUGUGUAAGUCAGGGGUGAAAUGCCGGGGCUCAACCUCGGAACUGCCUUUGAUACUGCAUGUCUGGAGUCCGGAUGCCGUGGGAGGAAUGAGUAGUGUAGCGGUGAAAUGCAUAGAUAUUACUCAGAACACCGAUUGCGAAGGCAUCUCACGAAUCCGGGACUGACGCUGAGGCACGAAAGCGUGGGGAUCAAACA
rnacentral:rRNA from 1 species